AGCGAGGGCAGAGGCCCCCACGGGUAGGGCAGCAGAGAUGGCCAGGAAUAGUUGGAUUGGGGUAUUUUUCGGAGCUGGAGUCUACACAGUUUGAUGUCAGAUUGGGUGGGGAAGGUGAGGGAGAGGGUGAUGUCAAGAAGGACUCCAAGGCUUCUGGCCUGAGCCCUGGGUGGAGGGCGGGGACAUAUCCUGAGAGGAGAGAGCCUGAGUUGAGUUUGGGACACGGGGAGUUGAACAUGCCCUUGAGACAUCCAAGUACAGGUCCCAGGGACAGCAGGGUAUGCACC
rnacentral:lncRNA from 10 species